rnacentral:lncRNA from 1 species
GCCAGCUGAAGGUCCAGGGAGAAGAGCAACCUGGUCCACAGCCUGCAGGUGGCCCAGCAGCAGGCCGAGGAGCUGCCGCAGGAGCGGGAGAAGCUGCAGGUUGCCCAGGAGGAGCUGCAGCGCCAGCGGGACCGGCUGGAGGAAGAGCAGGAAGAGGCGGUGCAGAAUGGCGCACGGGUUCGCCGGGAGCUUGAGCGCAGCCAUAGACAACUAGAGCAGCUGGAAGGGAAGCGCUCAGUCCUGGCCAAGGAGCUGGUGGAGGUGAGGGAGGCGCUGAGCCGCGCCACGCUGCAACGGGACAUGCUGCAGGCCGAGAAGACCGAGGUGGCCGAGGCGCUGACCAAGGGUGAGGCUGGCCGCAUGGAGCUCGAGCUCUCCGUGACCAAGCUGAGGGCAGAGGAGGCCUCCCUGCAGGACUCCCUGUCCAAGCUGAGCGCCCUCAACGAGAGCCUUGCUCAGGACAAGUUGGAUCUGAACUGCCUUGUCACCCAGCUGGAGGAAGAAAAGGCCAUGCUGCAGGGCCGGCAGCGGCAGGCGGAGCAGGAGGCCACAGUGGCGCCGGCAGAGCAGGAGUGGCUGGAGGAGCUGUGGUUGGAGCAGGAGGUGGCACGGCAGGGCCUGGAGGGCUCCCUAUGAGUGGCGGAGCAGGCCCAGGAGGCGCUGGAGCAACAGCUCCCCACACUGCACCAUGAGCUCAGUUGGCUGCAGGAGCAGCUAGCACAGUCCUGGCCCCCUAGGAGGCAGCAUGGCGGGAGCUGGAGGCCGAGCGGGCCCAGCUGCAGAGUCAGCUGCAGCGUGAGCAGGAGGAGCUGCUGGCCCGGCGGAAGGCUGAGAAGGAACAGCUGAGUGAGGAGAUUGCUGCCCUGCAGCAGGAGCAUGACGAGGGCCUCCUCCUGGCCGAGAGCGAGAAGCAGCAGGCCUUGUCUCUGAAGGAGUCUGAGAAGAUGGCGCUGUCAGAGAAGUUGAUGGGUACACGGCACAGCCUGGCCACCAUCUCCCUGGAGAUGGAGCGGCAGAAACCAGAUGCCCAGAGCCGGCAGGAGCAGGACCGGGUAGGCCUGCCGUCGUAGGGAGGCUUGCGGAGCAGGAGCGCCCUCUCUCCACCGAGCUAUCCCGCGGUUUCCAGCAUCCCAUCUGGCGGACUCCUCUUCCUCUCUCUUCUCCUACUCUGGGUCUUCUAUCCUGGUGUUCCUUGAAUGCCUAUCUUCCUUUUGUGCCUCGGAACCUCUCACGCCUGCCACAAGUUACUCUUUUCCUUGGUAGUUCUGAACUUUAAAUAAGGUAAUGCCUGUAAGAAUGCCAUAAAUGCUCAAUAAUUGUCAUCUGUUAUUAUUUUCAUCAGUAACAUCAUCUGAAUCAUCAGUAUUGUCUGCUUUUAACAGCUGCAUUUUUCAUUGUCCAAAUAUAGUCACAUACAUUUGACCAUUUUAUAAUUAUUGAAUAAUAAAUUUGUUCUGCUAUUUUACAAUGAAAAAUAAUGCUGCAGAGAGCAUUUUUGCACAUGUAUCGUGGCAGAUGUAGGCCAGAGGCUCUUCUUUUAUCCAUCCUAUGGCCAACCUAUGAAUGUAUACACGUUUAAUGAGAUUUUGCCAGCAAUCAAAGCCUUCAGGGAAAAUGUCCCUAGCUCUUUACUACAUCAGAUCAAGGACUCUGGAUAAUUGGCAUAACAUCCUGGAAUAGCUGAAACAGAGAUAUUAUUCUCUGCUCUCCUCUGUUGUCUUUGUCUUUUCACGUCUUAAUAAAAGUGCUGGUGACAAGAGUGUAA